GCGGACAUAGCUCAGCCGGUUAGAGCGUCGGAUUGUGGUUCCGAAAGUCGCGGGUUCGAGUCCCGUUGUUCGCC
rnacentral:tRNA from 1 species